CGGCGCCCGUGUCUCCUCCAG
rnacentral:miRNA from 1 species